rnacentral:rRNA from 1 species
UGAGGAAUAUUGCGCAAUGGGGGAAACCCUGACGCAGCGACGCCGCGUGAGUGAGGAAGGCCUUCGGGUCGUAAAGCUCUGUCAAAGGGAAAGAAGUGCAUGGUGGCUAAUACCUGCCAUGUUUGACGGUACCCUUAAAGGAAGCACCGGCUAACUCCGUGCCAGCAGCCGCGGUAAUACGGAGGGUGCAAGCGUUGUUCGGAAUCACUGGGCGUAAAGGGCGCGUAGGCGGUUUGAUAAGUCAGAUGUGAAAGCCCACGGCUUAACUGUGGAAGUGCAUUUGAAACUGUCAGACUUGAGUACCAGAGGGGAAAGUGGAAUUCCCGGUGUAGAGGUGAAAUUCGUAGAUAUCGGGAGGAAUACCGGUGGCGAAGGCGACUUUCUGGCUGGAUACUGACGC